CUACAAUUAACUAACUGCAUCCACCAAGAUAUAGUAUACACAUCCUAUAAUAUAGACACUACAACAGAAUUAUGUGUUAGAGACAUAUUUUUGUGACACUUUUGUGUAAAUGUCCAACCCCACCCCAGCUACUAAGGCCUAAAUAUAAAGCCCAAUUCAAUAAAAAAUAAAAAAAUUACUCUACUUAACCAACCCCACCCCAGCUCGGCUUGAUUACAAAUAGAAAAUGAAAGAAACAAAGAAAAAUUGAUCACCAUCUCCCCUUCUCCUCUUUUGCCACCACAACCGAUGAGAUAGGGUUCCGGUUGCUGGAGUUCGACCGCGAGGAUCUCGCAGAGACCGUAGAAGGCUACGAUCGUCAAGUGCCCCUUCGUCACAGGUCAUUGGAGGAGUGGGUGCGAAACAUCAAGGCGGCCCUACAUAUAGCGACCCCACAUAUAGCAACACUUUUAAAAAGUGUUGGUAAUAUAGCCAGCAAUACUUUUUUUGACCUGUACCGACACUUAAAAGUGUUAGUUUGAGACAGUACAUAAACGACAAACAUAUUUACAACUAUUCAAUUUUAAAUUUCUUCCUCUACGGCAAAAACGUUUUCAGUUCGAUUUUGAUUAAAACUACAUAUAAGCCUUCGACGUCGCUG
rnacentral:lncRNA from 1 species